ensembl:misc_RNA Y_RNA Y RNA
GGCUGGUCCAACGGCAAUGGGUUAUCAGAACAUUAGUGUCACUAAAUUUGGUAUACCACCCCACACACACUGCUAAAUUUGACCAGCUUAAA